rnacentral:rRNA from 1 species
GUGAGGAAUAUUGCUCAAUGGGCGCAAGCCUGAAGCAGCAACGCCGCGUGGGCGAUGAAGGUUUUCGGAUCGUAAAGCCCUUUUCUAGGUGACGAGGAAGGACGGUAGCCUAGGAAUAAGUGUCGGCUAACUACGUGCCAGCAGCCGCGGUAAAACGUAGGACGCAAGCGUUAUCCGGAGUUACUGGGCGUAAAGAGCGCGCAGGCGGGUCGUUAAGUCAUUUAUGAAAGCCCUAGGCUAAACUUGGGGAGUGUGAAUGAUACUGGCGGUCUAGAGUGAGGAAGAGGGAUGUGGAAUUCCGCGUGUAGUGGUGAAAUGCGUAGAUAUGCGGAGGAACACCAGUGGCGAAGGCGACAUCCUGGUCCUUAACUGACGCUGAGGCGCGAAAGCAUGGGUAGCGAACGGGAUUAGAAACCCCAGUAGUCC